rnacentral:rRNA from 1 species
CUACGGGAGGCAGCAGUGGGGAAUAUUGGACAAUGGGGGAAACCCUGAUCCAGCAAUGCCGCGUGUGUGAAGAAGGCCUGCGGGUUGUAAAGCACUUUCGGUUGGGAGGACUGCUUCUAGCACUAAUAUUGUUGGAAGUUGACGUUACCUUCAGAAGAAGCACCGGCUAACUCCGUGCCAGCAGCCGCGGUAAUACGGAGGGUGUAGGCGUUAAUCGGAAUUACUGGGCGUUAAAGCGCGCGUAGGCGGCUAGAUCAGUCGGGUGUGAAAGCCCCGGGCUUAACCUGGGAACUGCAUCCGAUACUGUCUAGCUUGAGUACAGGAGAGGAGAGUGGAAUUCCACAUGUAGCGGUGAAAUGCGUAGAUAUGUGGAGGAACACCAAUGGCGAAGGCAGCUCUCUGGCCUGAUACUGACGCUGAGGUGCGAAAGCGUGGGGAGCAAACAGGAUUAGAUACCCCUGUAGUC